CGUGUAGGCGGCUUAGCAAGUCGGGCGUGAAAGCCCUCGGCUCAACCGAGGAAGUGCACCCGAAACUGCUGAGCUUGAGUGCCGGAGAGGAUGGCGGAAUUCCCCAAGUAGAGGUGAAAUUCGUAGAUAUGGGGAGGAACACCGGUGGCGAAGGCGGCCAUCUGGACGGUAACUGACGCUGAGACGCGAAAGCGUGGGUAGCAAACAGGAUUAGAUACCCUGGUAGUCCACGCCGUAAACGAUGAGAACUAGAUGUCGCGGGUGUUGACCCCUGCGGUGUCGCAGCUAACGCAUUAGGUUCUCCGCCUGGGAAGUACGGUCGCAAGAUUAAA
rnacentral:rRNA from 1 species